rnacentral:hammerhead_ribozyme from 1 species
AUCCGGAUGACGAGUCUCAAAUGGGACGAAACACACGUCCUAGAU